CUGAGUGAUGCACACUGUGUAACCACUCCAUAGAAGACUGACUGCUCUACAGAUGACAUCAGAGGGUGAGAGUAUCUUGCAAAUAACUUUUAACUCCCCUUACAACCCUAAAACACCCCCUGUACCCAAAUGCUAAAUUUAACCUAACUCUAACCCCAAACGCAAUAAUCAUAAACAGCCCUUAUACAUCAUUAACGCAUCUUAAGCUGUUCAACUUUUUAACACUAUACACCCUAUGUAGUCGAACUCUGACAUUAACCCCUCUCUAAGCUUUAAGAUUGUAG